AGUCGAGCGGUAGCACAGAGAGCUUGCUCUCGGGUGACGAGCGGCGGACGGGUGAGUAAUGUCUGGGAAACUGCCUGAUGGAGGGGGAUAACUACUGGAAACGGUAGCUAAUACCGCAUAACGUCGCAAGACCAAAGUGGGGGACCUUCGGGCCUCAUGCCAUCAGAUGUGCCCAGAUGGGAUUAGCUGGUAGGUGGGGUAACGGCUCACCUAGGCGACGAUCCCUAGCUGGUCUGAGAGGAUGACCAGCCACACUGGAACUGAGACACGGUCCAGACUCCUACGGGAGGCAGCAGUGGGGAAUAUUGCACAAUGGGCGCAAGCCUGAUGCAGCCAUGCCGCGUGUGUGAAGAAGGCCUUCGGGUUGUAAAGCACUUUCAGCGGGGAGGAAGGCGGUGAGGUUAAUAACCUCGUCGAUUGACGUUACCCGCAGAAGAAGCACCGGCUAACUCCGUGCCAGCAGCCGCGGUAAUACGGAGGGUGCAAGCGUUAAUCGGAAUUACUGGGCGUAAAGCGCACGCAGGCGGUCUGUCAAGUCGGAUGUGAAAUCCCCGGGCUCAA
rnacentral:rRNA from 1 species